rnacentral:rRNA from 1 species
AAUCUUCCACAAUGGACGAAAGUCUGAUGGAGCAACGCCGCGUGAGUGAAGAAGGGUUUCGGCUCGUAAAGCUCUGUUGGUAGUGAAAGAAAGAUAGAGGUAGUAACUGGCCUUUUAUUUGACGGUAAUUACUUAGAAAGUCACGGCUAACUACGUGCC